ACUCUUCGCACCCGCUGUACUUGCGUGUUUGUAAAUGCUGGUGCUUGGUGUUUCCUCUCCGUUGCGCAUUCCUUGAUGACCGGAGGCACGUCGCAACGCGUGGCAUCCUCAUGGCCCCGGGCCGCCCCCCUUAUCCCCCUAUCCCCCUGCCAGUGCCGAGCCGCCUCGGGUGGUGACAGGGGCACCUACGGCGUGGGAAAGUCAGAGCGAUGCAUGGCUGCUGAUGCCGGUGCUCAGGUCGUAGAUGGCGUUGCGUCGGAGCGACCUGCGGCAGCGAGCGCGUUUGCACCACCCACAUGAUGGGCAGGGUGUCAGCGUGACCCAAGCGUGUCUCGCCCGGCCCUCGCUGCUUACUGGGGGAGAGCUUGGAGCGCCACCCCGAGGGAGAUGCACCGGCGGGGCGGCCGGCAUGAUGGGAGCGGCUGUGAGGUAACCUGCGAGGCAGAGGUGGGUAGAGUACGAGGCAGGGCCCGUGCGCAGGUGGCCGAGCCGGUGCGCUGCCGUAAUGCACGUGCCGGCCGCUGCGUUGCACCGGGCGACGGGGCCUGUGACGUGCCCGGGGGUGUCUGGAGAGGAGCUCAUGAUCUAUGACAGAAUGAACAAGUCGAAAGCAACAACAACUGGUGCGCAUUGUGGCAACUCUCUUCUUCUCUCUUUUGGCCUUUUUUGCGCUGCUGCGACGGCAAAAGCGCGUGGUUGUCGGUCACAGCAGCUCCCAUGCGGCUUUGAUCGCCUUGUACACUGACUCGGCUGGACUGUGUGCCAUGCGCCAAGCCCCGAUUCGGAAACGAAAGAGCAGUCGACGUGUUUGCGGUCGGCUUGCUUUCACCUCCCAUUUUCUUCUGCUGUCGCUAUACGCCCUUUGCGUUCUCAUUCGUCAGAGCUUGAGCAAGUGGUUCGCUCACACAUCCCGAUCUCUCCUCUCCUCUCCCUCUUCCCUUUUUCCGGCUUCCGCGGCCACAG
rnacentral:misc_RNA from 1 species